GACGAACGCUGUCGGCGUGCUUACACAUGCAAGUCGAACGGAAAGGCCCUGCUUUUGUGGGGUGCUCGAGUGGCGAACGGGUGAGUAACACGUGAGUAACCUGCCCUUGACUUUGGGAUAACUUCAGGAAACUGGGGCUAAUACCGGAUAGGAGCUCCUGCUGCAUGGUGGGGGUUGGAAAGUUUCGGCGGUUGGGGAUGGACUCGUGGCUUAUCAGCUUGUUGGUGGGGUAGUGGCUUACCAAGGCUUUGACGGGUAGCCGGCCUGAGAGGGUGACCGGCCACAUUGGGACUGAGAUACGGCCCAGACUCCUACGGGAGGCAGCAGUGGGGAAUAUUGCACAAUGGGCGGAAGCCUGAUGCAGCAACGCCGCGUGCGGGAUGACGGCCUUCGGGUUGUAAACCGCUUUCGCCUGUGACGAAGCGUGAGUGACGGUAAUGGGUAAAGAAGCACCGGCUAACUACGUGCCAGCAGCCGCGGUGAUACGUAGGGUGCGAGCGUUGUCCGGAUUUAUUGGGCGUAAAGGGCUCGUAGGUGGUUGAUCGCGUCGGAAGUGUAAUCUUGGGGCUUAACCCUGAGCGUGCUUUCGAUACGGGUUGACUUGAGGAAGGUAGGGGAGAAUGGAAUUCCUGGUGGAGCGGUGGAAUGCGCAGAUAUCAGGAGGAACACCAGUGGCGAAGGCGGUUCUCUGGGCCUUUCCUGACGCUGAGGAGCGAAAGCGUGGGGAGCGAACAGGCUUAGAUACCCUGGUAGUCCACGCUGUAAACGGUGGGUACUAGGUGUGGGGUCCAUUCCACGGGUUCCGUGCCGUAGCUAACGCUUUAAGUACCCCGCCUGGGGAGUACGGCCGCAAGGCUAAAACUCAAAGGAAUUGACGGGGCCCCGCACAAGCGGCGGAGCAUGCGGAUUAAUUCGAUGCAACGCGUAGAACCUUACCUGGGUUUGACAUGGAUCGGGAGUGCUCAGAGAUGGGUGUGCCUCUUUUGGGGUCGGUUCACAGGUGGUGCAUGCCUGUCGUCAGCUCGUGUCGUGAGAUGUUGGGUUAAGUCCCGCAACGAGCGCAACCCUUGUUCACUGUCGCCAGCACGUUAUGGUGGGGACUCAGUGGAGACCGCCGGGGUCAACUCGGAGGAAGGUGGGGAUGACGUCAAGUCAUCAUGCCCCUUAUGUCCAGGGCUUCACGCAUGCUACAAUGGCUGGUACAGAGAGUGGCGAGCCUGUGAGGGUGAGCGAAUCUCGGAAAGCCGGUCUCAGUUCGGAUUGGGGUCUGCAACUCGACCUCAUGAAGUCGGAGUCGCUAGUAAUCGCAGAUCAGCAACGCUGCGGUGAAUACGUUCCCGGGGCU
rnacentral:rRNA from 1 species